GUUCAGAACCCACACGUAGGCCUCCGGCAAACAGAUCCAGACAAAACUGGAUCUUUUUUACUUUUAGGGCGUGGCCUGGAUUAAUACAAAAAAAAAAAGGCCCCCCAGUGGGUCACACAGCCUGAGGAGAAGGUCUGUGCGACGGAUGGACGGAUUGGGGACGGGGAAGACUGGAUCCAUGGCAGCCUCCCACGCAUUUCAGGUCAUCGGGGAAGCAAUCGUCUUAAGUGCUCUGGCUGACAACGGAGAGCUGAUGAGAAUCCUUCCUGUGAGCGUUGGCUGGCUAAGGUGUCUGCAUCUCGAGAGCUGCAUCGUUUUUGGCUGACAUCUCAUCCCUCUACAAAG